GGUAGCACGCUUGUUGUAAAACUAGCAGGUGCUCCUUCUUCGCGGAGCUUACUGAUUUUAGAGAAAUCCGAGAUGCGAAACUGUCAGGGUGGAUUCUGAAUGUGCUUGAAAGUGGUUGGGCUUCUCAGUAAAUAGACUCCAACUGAGAACGUGUAGAUGCUAGAUGCUGGCCACUAAGGAAUGCAUCCCAGACAGAGGAAACGGAACCAUGGGAAAGUGGGGCAGGAAGCCCCGAAGAAUGCAGUUGCUCUCCUGCACACACCAUAUCAUCAGUAGAGGUCCUUCCACUGAGCGCCCUCUCAAAACUGCUUUGGUUUUGCAGGUAGAAGCAAAGUAUUAGACAUCAGUCCAUCUUGUGCCUUAAUCAGAUUGCGCUGAGUCUGUGCACAUGGGUGAUCCGAGCAGACGGAGGAUGAGCCAAGUUUCUUCUCAUAAUGAACAACUGGACAUCUGGAAUCUCCUAGAACUAAAAGCCUUCUUCUGUACGGCAAAGGAAGCAAGCAAUCAAAAACACCGCCUAAGGAACGGGAGAAAAUACUGACUAGCUACUUAUCUGUCAGAGCGUUAGGAACUAGAAUAGUCAAAGAACUAAAAAUAAACCAAGAAAAUAAUAAGAUAAAAAGUAGAAAUGAUGGGCUGGAGAGAUGGCUCAGCAGGUAAGAGCACUGACUGCUCUUCUGAAGGUUCUGAGUUCAAAUCCCAGCAACCACAUGGUGGCUCACAACCAUCGGUAAUGAGAUCUGAUGCCCUCUUCUGGGGUGUCUAAAGACAGCUGUAAUGUAAUUACAUGUAAUAAAUAAAUUUUUAAAAAAAGUAGAAAUGAAU